rnacentral:rRNA from 1 species
UCUGCCUUCGGAUUUGGGAUAACUUCGCGAAAGCGGAGCUAAUACCGGAUAGUCUGGCUUUACAUAGAAGUAGGUCGGUAAAGGAUGCCUCUGCAUAUGCAUUCGUCCGAAGAUGAGCCCGCGUCUCAUUAGCUAGUUGGUGGGGUAAAGGCCUACCAAGGCAACGAUGAGUAACUGGUCUGAGAGGAUGAUCAGUCACACUGGAACUGAAACACGGUCCAGACUCCUACGGGAGGCAGCAGUGGGGAAUAUUGCGCAAUGGGCGAAAGCCUGACGCAGCAACGCCGUGUGAGGGAUGAAGGCUUUCGGGUCGUAAACCUCUGUCAGAAGGGAAGAACGGAUAAUGGUCUAAUAGGCCGUUAUUUUGACGGUACCUUCAGAGGAAGCACCGGCUAACUCCGUGCCAGCAGCCGCGGUAAUACGGGGGGUGCAAGCGUUAUUCGGAAUUACUGGGCGUAAAGCGCGCGUAGGCGGCCCUGUAAGUCAGGGGUGAAAUCCCACGGCUCAACCGUGGAACUGCCCUUGAAACUGCGGGGCUUGAAUCCUGGAGAGGGUGGCGGAAUUCCUGGUGUAGGAGUGAAAUCCGUAGAUAUCAGGAGGAACACCGGUGGCGAAGGCGGCCACCUG